AGAGUUUGAUCCUGGCUCAGGACGAACGCUGGCGGCGUGCUUAACACAUGCAAGUCGAACGGAAAGGCCCUUCGGGGUACUCGAGUGGCGAACGGGUGAGUAACACGUGGGUGAUCUGCCCUGCACUUUGGGAUAAGCCUGGGAAACUGGGUCUAAUACCGAAUAUGACCAUGCACUUCCUGGUGUGUGGUGGAAAGCUUUUGCGGUGUGGGAUGGGCCCGCGGCCUAUCAGCUUGUUGGUGGGGUAAUGGCCUACCAAGGCGACGACGGGUAGCCGGCCUGAGAGGGUGACCGGCCACACUGGGACUGAGAUACGGCCCAGACUCCUACGGGAGGCAGCAGUGGGGAAUAUUGUACAAUGGGCGUAAGCCUGAUGCAGCGACGCCGCGUGAGGGAUGACGGCCUUCGGGUUGUAAACCUCUUUCAGCACAGACGAAGCGCAAGUGACGGUAUGUGCAGAAGAAGGACCGGCCAACUACGUGCCAGCAGCCGCGGUAAUACGUAGGGUCCGAGCGUUGUCCGGAAUUACUGGGCGUAAAGAGCUCGUAGGUGGUUUGUCGCGUUGUUCGUGAAAACUCACAGCUUAACUGUGGGCGUGCGGGCGAUACGGGCAGACUUGAGUACUGCAGGGGAGACUGGAAUUCCUGGUGUAGCGGUGGAAUGCGCAGAUAUCAGGAGGAACACCGGUGGCGAAGGCGGGUCUCUGGGCAGUAACUGACGCUGAGGAGCGAAAGCGUGGGGAGCGAACAGGAUUAGAUACCCUGGUAGUCC
rnacentral:rRNA from 1 species